rnacentral:rRNA from 1 species
AUUGAACGCUGGCGGCAGGCCUAACACAUGCAAGUCGAACGGUAACAGGAAGAAGCUUGCUUCUUUGCUGACGAGUGGCGGACGGGUGAGUAAUGUCUGGGAAACUGCCUGAUGGAGGGGGAUAACUACUGGAAACGGUAGCUAAUACCGCAUAACGUCGCAAGACUAAAGAGGGGGAGCUUCGGGCCUCGUGCGAGCGGAUGUGCCCAGAUGGGAUUAGCUAGUAGGUGGGGUAACGGCUCACCUAGGCGACGAUCCCUAGCUGGUCUGAGAGGAUGACCAGCCACACUGGAACUGAGACACGGUCCAGACUCCUACGGGAGGCAGCAGUGGGGAAUAUUGCACAAUGGGCGCAAGCCUGAUGCAGCCAUGCCGCGUGUAUGAAGAAGGCCUUCGGGUUGUAAAGUACUUUCAGCGGGGAGGAAGGGAGUAAAGUUAAUACCUUUGCUCAUUGACGUUACCCGCAGAAGAAGCACCGGCUAACUCCGUG